rnacentral:rRNA from 1 species
GACGAACGCUGGCGGCGUGCUUAACACAUGCAAGUCGAACGAAGUGGCGAACGGGUGAGUAACGCGUAAUCAAACUGCCCUUCAGAGGGGGACACCAGUUGGAAACGACUGCUAAUACAGCAUACUGAAGGAGGGGAUGGAGUGUGAGUAGCUAGUUGGCGGGUAAAAGGCCCACCAAGGCGAUGACCAGUAGCCGGUCUGAGAGGCUGAACGGCCACAUGUGGACGUAGACACGGCCCAGACGCCGACGGGAGGCAGCAGUGGGGAAGCUUCCGCAAUGGACGAAAGUCUUACGGAGCAACGCCGCGUGAGUGAUGACGGCCUUCGGGUUGUAAAGCUCUGUUAAUCGGGACGCGGUACCGGAAUAGAAAGCCACGGCUAACUACGUGCCAGCCGCCGCGGUAAUUC